rfam:Morus notabilis contig23228, whole genome shotgun sequence.
ACAUAUGAUGAUGAUACAUGCACUGGGCUCUGAGCAGUUCGUCAUUGCGCCUAUUGAUGGAAAUGCAGCCUAGAAAGCUUUGUCUGGACC